rnacentral:rRNA from 1 species
UUUAUGGAGAGUUUGAUCCUGGCUCAGGAUGAACGCUGGCGGCGUGCCUAAUACAUGCAAGUCGAGCGAACGGACGAGAAGCUUGCUUCUCUGAUGUUAGCGGCGGACGGGUGAGUAACACGUGGAUAACCUACCUAUAAGACUGGGAUAACUUCGGGAAACCGGAGCUAAUACCGGAUAAUAUUUUGAACCGCAUGGUUCAAAAGUGAAAGACGGUCUUGCUGUCACUUAUAGAUGGAUCCGCGCUGCAUUAGCUAGUUGGUAAGGUAACGGCUUACCAAGGCAACGAUGCAUAGCCGACCUGAGAGGGUGAUCGGCCACACUGGAACUGAGACACGGUCCAGACUCCUACGGGAGGCAGCAGUAGGGAAUCUUCCGCAAUGGGCGAAAGCCUGACGGAGCAACGCCGCGUGAGUGAUGAAGGUCUUCGGAUCGUAAAACUCUGUUAUUAGGGAAGAACAUAUGUGUAAGUAACUGUGCACAUCUUGACGGUACCUAAUCAGAAAGCCACGGCUAACUACGUGCCAGCAGCCGCGGUAAUACGUAGGUGGCAAGCGUUAUCCGGAAUUAUUGGGCGUAAAGCGCGCGUAGGCGGUUUUUUAAGUCUGAUGUGAAAGCCCACGGCUCAACCGUGGAGGGUCAUUGGAAACUGGAAAACUUGAGUGCAGAAGAGGAAAGUGGAAUUCCAUGUGUAGCGGUGAAAUGCGCAGAGAUAUGGAGGAACACCAGUGGCGAAGGCGACUUUCUGGUCUGUAACUGACGCUGAUGUGCGAAAGCGUGGGGAUCAAACAGGAUUAGAUACCCUGGUAGUCCACGCCGUAAACGAUGAGUGCUAAGUGUUAGGGGGUUUCCGCCCCUUAGUGCUGCAGCUAACGCAUUAAGCACUCCGCCUGGGGAGUACGACCGCAAGGUUGAAACUCAAAGGAAUUGACGGGGACCCGAACAAGCGGUGGAGCAUGUGGUUUAAUUCGAAGCAACGCGAAGAACCUUACCAAAUCUUGACAUCCUUUGACAACUCUAGAGAUAGAGCCUUCCCCUUCGGGGGACAAAGUGACAGGUGGUGCAUGGUUGUCGUCAGCUCGUGUCGUGAGAUGUUGGGUUAAGUCCCGCAACGAGCGCAACCCUUAAGCUUAGUUGCCAUCAUUAAGUUGGGCACUCUAAGUUGACUGCCGGUGACAAACCGGAGGAAGGUGGGGAUGACGUCAAAUCAUCAUGCCCCUUAUGAUUUGGGCUACACACGUGCUACAAUGGACAAUACAAAGGGCAGCGAAACCGCGAGGUCAAGCAAAUCCCAUAAAGUUGUUCUCAGUUCGGAUUGUAGUCUGCAACUCGACUACAUGAAGCUGGAAUCGCUAGUAAUCGUAGAUCAGCAUGCUACGGUGAAUACGUUCCCGGGUCUUGUACACACCGCCCGUCACACCACGAGAGUUUGUAACACCCGAAGCCGGUGGAGUAACCUUUUAGGAGCUAGCCGUCGAAGGUGGGACAAAUGAUUGGGGUGAAGUCGUAACAAGGUAGCCGUAUCGGAAGGUGCGGCUGGAUCACCUCCUUUCU